rnacentral:rRNA from 1 species
AUACAGAGGGUGCAAGCGUUAAUCGGAAUUACUGGGCGUAAAGCGCGCGUAGGCGGCUUGGUCAGUCGGAUGUGAAAGCCCUGGGCUUAACCUGGGAAUUGCAUUCGAUACUGCCAGGCUCGAAUGUAGUAGAGGGUAGUGGAAUUCCACAUGUAGCGGUGAAAUGCGUAGAUAUGUGGAGGAACAUCAGUGGCGAAGGCGACUCUCUGGCCUAAUACUGACGCUGAGGUGCGAAAGCGUGGGGAGCAAACAGGAUUAGAAACCCCGGUAGUCC